UGGGGAAUAUUGCACAAUGGGCGCAAGCCUGAUGCAGCCAUGCCGCGUGUAUGAAGAAGGCCUUCGGGUUGUAAAGUACUUUCAGUCGGGAGGAAGGUGGUAAGGUUAAUAACCUUAUCAAUUGACGUUACCGACAGAAGAAGCACCGGCUAACUCCGUGCCAGCAGCCGCGGUAAUACGGAGGGUGCAAGCGUUAAUCGGAAUUACUGGGCGUAAAGCGCACGCAGGCGGUUGAUUGAGUCAGAUGUGAAAUCCCCGGGCUCAACCUGGGAACUGCAUUCGAAACUGGCGGGCUAGAGUCUUGUAGAGGGGGGUAGAAUUCCAGGUGUAGCGGUGAAAUGCGUAGAGAUCUGGAGGAAUACCGGUGGCGAAGGCGGCCCCCUGGAUAAAGACUGACGCUCAGGUGCGAAAGCGUGGGGAGCAAACAGG
rnacentral:rRNA from 1 species